CUACGGGAGGCAGCAGUGAGGAAUAUUGCACAAUGGGGGGAACCCUGAUGCAGCAACGCCGCGUGGAGGAUGACGCAUUUCGGUGUGUAAACUCCUUUUAUAUGUCAAGAAAAUGACGGUAGCAUAUGAAUAAGCACCGGCUAACGCGCGUGCCAGCAGCCGCGGUAAUACGGAGGGUGCAAGCGUUACCCGGAAUCACUGGGCGUAAAGGACGCGUAGGCGGGUUGGAGAGUCAGGUGUGAAAUCCUACAGCUUAACUGUAGAACUGCACUUGAAACUUCUAAUCUAGAGUAUGGGAGGGGGAGAUGGAAUUAGUGGUGUAGGGGUAAAAUCCGUAGAUAUCACUAGGAAUACCCAAAGCGAAGGCGAUCUCCUGGAACAUUACUGACGCUAAGGCGUGAAAGCGUGGGGAGCAAACAGGAUUAGAUACCCCUGUAGUC
rnacentral:rRNA from 1 species